GCUGGGAUCGGACAGCCGGGCGAGGAUCCUGCGCCUGGUGCGCGCCGCCGGCGGUGGCGUCACCGCCGCCGAGGUCGCGGCCCAGACCGGGCA
rnacentral:tRNA from 1 species